UGAACGCCGGGUGAGCUACCCGGAUGGCUCUUCCGGUUCUUUGUGCGGCCUUCACCCAGUGAGGGAGCCUGUGCCCCCUGCCCAGUCGCUUUCGGGGCGCUGAGGAGCUUCCGCUGCCAUCUUCGGAUGCUGUGUCCCGCACGGAGGGUCCACCAGGGCAGGGAUAGUGGUUCAAACAAUACAGAAGUGUAUAAAGUAAGAAUUGAAAGUCUCUUCGCUGCUCUAAUCUCACUCCUCAGAGGUGAUCACUGGACCUGAGUGAGCAGAAGGCUUUUCAGAAUUACAGCCUGAACUAUUUCUUGAGCAAUUUGGGAACUCAUUUCUAAAGCAGUCCUCAGAUUCACACAACGUAGUUUGUGACGGAGUAUGCCCAGAGCAGCUGUCUUGUUGAUGGGGGUGCACCCUGACGAAUGGUGUGCUGGCAAAGAUUUAACAAAAGGCUCCAGAGGAGGGCAGACUUGAAGUGGAGCCUUCAGUGGGCAGUGUGAAGGGUGCUGAUUUCAAACAACUCAUCUGGUAUGACUGAACAUGAAGUUGGGAAGAGAUGUGCAUAAUUGAAGUGGGUGAGAGCCAGUCCAGCACCCUGCAGAGAGUGUGGAAGAUGAUCAAAGUAUGACAUUUCUUCUACCCCAGAGGCUGGCAUUUCUGCAGGCACAAAUGAGCUUGGUUUUCAAGCACUGCUCUUUGAACACAAGGAAUUCCUUUAAUGAUCACGCCGGACUAUAUAGACUUUGGAAUCAGACUCUUUGAAUUCCAGCUCUGCCAUUUACCAACUUUGACACUUUGGACAACGUCUCAUUCUGUCACCCAGGCUGGAGUGCAGUGGCACAAUUAUAGCUCACUGCAGCCUCAAACACCUGGGCUCAAGCAAUCCUUCCACCUCUGCCUCCUGAGUAAUUGGGACUACAGGGUUUUGGAAAUCUGGAUUGUAGCAGGGCAUUGUAAGUUAAAAAAUCAUCUUCCCAUUCUGUUCUUUGCAAAGAUAUUUCUGUUCCUUAAAUUUGUUGAGGGUAAGAGAUUGCAGAUUGCUUCUGUGGACUUCUUGAAGGUGGAUCUGCCUGUUGGUGGAGAACCCUAGACUGCAUGCAGCCAUGCACAUGAUCUGGAGACACAGCAGGUCAUCCUCAGCAUUUAUACUCUCUCUCCUUUUGUGCCCCCAUGGACCAAGUUAAGAAGGUGUAGGCUUCAAAUCUUAAGAUCGGUCACCACAAAAUUCAAAAAGACAAGGUCUUUGUCUGUUGCUCAGGAUGGAGUGUAGUGGUGCCAUAGCACACUGUAAUCUUGAAUUUCUGGACUACUGGCAUACACCACCAUGCUUAGGUUCGGGCCACAACAUCCGUGACUUUACCGGUUUUGGUCUCUUCCUUGUAACUUUCGGCUCCAGGAUGCUGCGCAGCUCCUCUCUGCACUAUCUAUCAGAACGUUGCUCUGCGUGCUUGAAAGUUUCGCCAAACAGAAGUACACAAAAACAAACAGAGGCGAAACACAAAUCCCCUCAGCCCUGGAGGAAAAGGCCUUGAAGCUCUUCCAGUGCAGAGGCCACGCAGAGGACAUGCUCCUACCUGUGCACAUCGGCCACGCCUGGGGUGCCUCCUGGAGUCCAGGCUGCUGGCGAUGGAAUCCAUCAUGUUGCUGAUGUCACUACUCUCAACUCCUGAUGGCAUCAGAACACAGGCAGCAUCAAGAUCAGGCUCAAGAUGCAGGAUUUUAUCAUCCAAAUCAGGCCCACAUAUGGAUGAAACCCUUCAGGUAUUCUGCACAUCUCUCAGGAAACCCAGAUGAAAUUGAGUGCCUGCUGCCCACAUCAGCAACCCAGACAUCCCACUUGAUUCUGCUUCUGGAGCCUAAGAUGGGAAAAUGGCAGGUGUCGCAGGUUGCAGGGGAAGGUCGGAGACCAGUUGAGGGCCCCGGAGUCUGUCUGGAAAGAGUUUUCCAUCCAGCCCGUCUCGGUUUCCGCAUCCGUGUGAGUCCUUUAUGACGUCGGGAAUGCCAAGGUCUGAGUCCUUUAUGAUGUUCAGGGUGCCCCGGUCUCACCCCGGGAGCCUCCUCGCUCCGGCCUGCUCCUGGCUACCCGGUGGGCGGCUCUGGCCCCAGCGACCCGCUACUGUUUCUCCAUGCGCUGCCACUUCGCAAAGGCACAUCUCUAGGUCAGUGGUCAGCUGCAGCCAGGGCGCUGCAACUCGCUCCAGGACUCGGGAAUCAGGGCCUUGGUGGGCCUCGCAGAGUGCUGGGUGUGUCGCCUGCGGGCUCCUCUUUUGGAGAAAGGAGGGAGGGAAAGGCCUUGUGAGACGACUCCAGGAGCGACCAGCGACCCCCACAAGGCCCAAGUCCUCCCAGCGCACUCAGAAACAGUCACUUAAAUGGCAAUAAGGUUGAGAAAGACUCUCCCGUGCCCCCGUGCUGGUGUAGUGGCUGUGAUUCAGUCCUUUCACCACCGCAUCCCGGGUUCGAUUACCGGUCAGGGAGUUGUUUUGCACUGACUGCCCACCCGCAGUAAUCUUUCUUUACUCCGCUGUCAGCCGGCCUGCUCCAAGAGCCAGAGGCAGAAGAGUCUCCCUGCAAGGUGCAAACCCUGGCGAAGGAGGGCAAGUCCUGGUGGACGGCCUCUCAUGACACACCCUCUUAUUUAUCUCCGUGUCCACCAUUCGCAGAAGGGGCUUUAGAGAGCGACUGAGCGUCUCGCUCAGGUGUACACCACCGUGCAGAGAUGGCAGCUCUCCUGGAGGUGUACCCAAGAAGCCCACCAUCUUUGCCGCCUCCGCCAUCCCAGAGGCGCCGAUUGGGCUGAGCUGCAAAUAACUAAGAGAGAGAGAGGCCAAGCCAAGUCGUGGCGUUUGUGUGCGGCACACGUCGUCAGCUGACACAGGCGGUCAGCUGAGCCUCCUCACCUCAGUUCGCAGCUAACAUGCUUCUUAGGCCUUCGGAAGAGGCGACAGGAGGCGAUGGCCGCGAGGUUGGGAGGGGGGUGAGCGGCGGGUGAGGUCCUCCAGGACCGCCCAUUUAUUGACUGGGUGGUACAGGAGGGCGAUGUUCGCUUACCCAACAACGACAGCAGGUGGAGUAGGCACUAAUGGAAAACUGUGGCCGGUGCCCUAAGCAGAAGGCAGGUGUAAAAAUCACUAGGACAUCAAAGGGAUAGUACCACAGUCAAAUCCCGCAAUGUCUGUCUACACUCUACCAAGCAAUUGUGCACCCUCCCCCUUUUCCAUUCAGUACUCCCAAGAAGGGUUGGGACGAACCCUGUGUCCACUGUAAAGCUCAGGGGAGAGCGGGAGCGAGGGAGGUGAAGUGCACAGACUGGGCAGAGGCGGCGGGCAGAACUGCGGGGGUGAGAGGGCGCGGUGGCUGCGGGGCGGGAGCCUCUGCUGAAAGGAGGCCUGGGUUGUCCUGUGGGUGACUGUUGGUGGAAUCUUUGGCAGCGAGUGGUUGGAAGAAUGGCGACGGGCGAGCAGAGGGGAAGGUGGUGACCCUGAGCGUCUGGCUAGGGGAGAGGAGGCUGUACUGACACUCGUCUCCUCUUACCUGGCGAGGGACAGACCGUGGUCAAGAAGGGAGCUCUCCCUGGUUGAGGCUAGUCCACCACACUCCAGCUGCUCUGACCCCUGCGAUUUCCCUACACGCGGGGCGCUUGUCUGCGGUGGUGUUUGCGCUACCCGGGGGCUGGGUUCACGCAGGCUCCUGACAGUCCUUGGCUCACCGCCCCCGACGCGGAUAUCGCCGCUAGAGACCCUUCCGCCACCCUCCUAGGGAUCUUGAGGGCCUUCCUUGUUGUUCCGACUGAAGCUCACGAACAGACAGAUGUGAGCUCUCUGUCUUUUACACGUUGAAUUUGGCUAUUGGCAAAAAAAGCCCUGACCCAGAGCUUGGGACUCCUCCCGGCCUGCACACGACUUCCCGACUCUUGCCUCCUAGCGCGGCUCUUGGCUAGCGGGCGGGCAGCCUCCACCCAGCGUAGAACCGCGGCAGCCGCAGCCCCCGCAGGCUGGCGGUCAGACACUAGCAGGAAAAGGGACACAAGGCCUGCGUGGUGGGAAAGCAUGGGAGACGUCGCUUUCCCACCAGGCGAGAAGGUCUCCCUACAGUCUUUGGACAGAAGAUGGAGGGAGGCACCCCUUCCAGGAGCAAGGCGGCUGCUCCUGAGGCCUGGCUCCGCACGGAGGCUCCUGGGUCCCGCGCGCCCUCUCCCUACCGGUUAUAGCCAGAGCUGCUUCACACAUCUCAGCCGGCUUCCUCUUCCGCCUCUGCCACCUCUUCCUCCCCAGCUCGUGGGAAAGACCUAGCCUCCUCUCCAACACUUGGAGAGGGAGUUGGAUGAACGUCUCCUAACCCCAGUAGGACAGAGAUCCUGAGGUAGGAGGGGACCCCUUGCCUUGCUGCUUCUUUUGGCACCGCUGACCCGGGCCCAGGACUCCUCGCUCCUCCUGGAAGGCCUGGGUCGUGUAGCCCACAGAGGUGGCCACGUGGGCAUCUCCCCCACUGCUCCUCAUAGAACCGGAGGCAUUAUCCUGCCGGGCCCACUCUUACCCAUGAAAGAAACUUGGGAAAUGCUCCCGGGGAAGCCGGGGAUCUGGGCGCUCGACCACUUCGGUGUGAAUCUUCCGUCCGCUCAUCCUUCCUUCGGAGGGUCUUGGGGAGAGGAGAAAUGCUCAAGGACGAUGCGCUUUGCAGCGUCUCAAGGGAAACUAGAUCUCAACGGAUACCAGAAGUCUGGAGCGUCUUCCUGGAGGAAGGCGGCCCGAGGCCUGCGGUUGCAGGGAGGCUUGCGGAGCACAGCGCCCUCUCUCAGCCUGAGCUAUCCAGUGGCUUCCAGCAUCCCAGCUGGCCGACUCCACUUCCUCUCUCUUCCUCCUACUGCGGGUCUUCUUCUUCUCUUUGGGGACCGAAUCUCGCUCUGUCGCCCAGGCUGGAGUGCAGUGGCGCGAUCUCGGCUUACUGCAACCUCCGCCUCCCGGGUUGAAGCGAUUCUCCUGCCUCAGCCUCCCGAAUAGCUGGGACUACAGGCGCGUGCCACCACGCCCGGCUAAUUUUUUGUAUUUUUAGUUGAGACGGGGUUUCACCCUGUUAGCCAGGAUGGUCUCGAUCUCCUGGCCUCUUGAUCCGCCCGCCUCGGCCUCCCAAAGUGCUGGGAUUACAGGCGUGAGCCUCCGCGCCCGGCCUACUGCGGCUCUUCUAUCCUGGUGUUCUUUGAAUGCCUAUCUUCCUUUUGUGCCACAGAACCUCUCACGCCCGCCACAGGUUGCUCAUUUCCUUGGUUGUUCUGAACUUUAAAUAAGUUAAUGUAUGUAAGAGUGCCAUAAAUGCUCAGUAAUUGACAUCUGUUAUUUUCAUCAGUAACAUCAUCUGAAUCAUCUGUAUUGUCUAUUUUUAACAACUGCAUUUUUCAUUGUCCAAAUAAAGUCACAUACAUUUGAACAUUAUAUAAUGAUUGAAUAAUAAAAUUAUUCUGCUAUUUUACAAUAAAAA
rnacentral:lncRNA from 1 species